AACGAACGCUGGCGGCAGGCCUAACACAUGCAAGUCGAGCGCCCCGCAAGGGGAGCGGCGGACGGGUGAGUAACGCGUGGGAACGUACCCUUUGCUACGGAAUAGCCUCGGGAAACUGGGAGUAAUACCGUAUGUGCCCUUCGGGGAAAGAUUUAUCGGCAAAGGAUCGGCCCGCGUUGGAUUAGGUAGUUGGUGGGGUAAUGGCCUACCAAGCCGACGAUCCAUAGCUGGUUUGAGAGGAUGAUCAGCCACACUGGGACUGAGACACGGCCCAGACUCCUACGGGAGGCAGCAGUGGGGAAUCUUAGACAAUGGGCGCAAGCCUGAUCCAGCAAUGCCGCGUGUGUGAAGAAGGCCUGCGGGUUGUAAAGCACUUUCAGUGGGGAAGAACAGAUUCGGGUCAAUACCCCGGAGCCCUGACGUUACCCACAGAAGAAGCACCGGCUAACUCCGUG
rnacentral:rRNA from 1 species